rnacentral:tRNA from 1 species
GCGCGAGUGCCGGAACUGGCAGACGGGUCGGUUUUAGGUACCGAUGCCCUAGGGCGUGAGGGUUCGAGUCCCUCCUCGCGCA